rnacentral:piRNA from 1 species
AAAAGAGCCACGGACUUACAAAAGGG